AGAAUUUCGGCAGAAGAUGGGCCUGCGUGUCAUUAGUUAGUUGGUAAGGUAACGGCUUACCAAGACGAUGAUGACUAGGGGGUCUGAGAGGAUGACCCCACACUGGAACUGAGACACGGUCCAGACUCCUACGGGAGGCAGCAGUGAGGAAUUUUCCGCAAUGGGCGAAAGCCUGACGGAGCAACGCCGCGUGAGGGAUGAAUGCCUCUGGGCUGUAAACCUCUUUUAUCAAGGAAGAAGAUCUGACGGUACUUGAUGAAUAAGCCACGGCUAAUUCCGUGCCAA
rnacentral:rRNA from 1 species